CUUACUUUAAAAAGGCAGGUCCUGGAGAAAUCACAGGACUCCAGGCACUGGGGCUUUAUGGAAAGAUUUCAUAGUGUGGCACUCAUUAAAAUCUUGGCAGCAUGAGGUCUUCUUCCAGUUCUCCAGAUCCUGGCUCAUUCAGCCCAAACUGAGACCGAGUAGGAGGGCAGCAGAUGCUUCUCCGUUAGGCAUUUAAAGAGGAAGGAUGGCCUUCUGGCUAAGACACCGGACUGCGUCUCAAAGCACAACUCCUCCCAGGAAUUUGCUUCAGAGCCAAGCUGCCGAGUUCUGAUCCAAAGUCUUGGAGCAGGUCCAGAGCCAGGGUUUUGCUUCUGUUGCCUUCAAAAUCUUUUUUUGCUAAAUGAGACUGGUGCAUGCGAGGCGAUGGAGUUCAGGGAGACUGCUGGAAAGUCUCUAAGCACAGCUCAAAGUUCAGCACCCGAUCCCCCAGCUGGGUAUUAAUGGAGAGGAAGAAACAUCCUGAAGGAGAGCUAGAAGCCUGUGUCUAGCUGUCCCUCUCUGACAUCCGUGGGAAAAUUACACUGCAAAGCUGAGCCUUUAUCCCUACAAUCAGAGUCACUCUCCAGGUCCAGCGGAGCUCUGCACAAGCUGUUGUCUUCUGCAUUGAUAGAUCGCUGGGGCUUCUGCGUGCCACGACUUCAAUCUCCCUAUGCGACAGGCUCCAUCUAAUAACUGUGCCCUUGGUCCUGCUUCUGCUGAUUCUUCCCUCGCUUGCUGGCUAUUGUUCCCAGUAGUCACGCUGACAUAAAACGCUCUUUGAAA